CGCGUAGGCGGUUAUGCUAGUCAGGUGUGAAAUCCCCCAGGCUUAACUUGGGAACUGCGCUUGAAACUGCAUAGCUUGAGGCCGGGAGAGGAAAGUGGAAUUCCUGGUGUAGCGGUGAAAUGCGUAGAUAUCAGGAGGAACACCGGUGGCGAAGGCGGCUUUCUGGACCGGUUCUGACGCUGAAGCGCGAAAGCGUGGGGAGCAAACG
rnacentral:rRNA from 1 species